rfam:Oryza glumipatula chromosome 3, whole genome shotgun sequence.
UUUAAUCGCAACCAUAAUUUUUCGCGUCCAACUUUAUCGUCCGUCUUAUUUAAAUUUUUUUUAUAAUUAUUAUUUUUGUUGUUACGAGAUGAUAAAACAUGAAUAGCACUUUACUCGUGACUUAUGUUUUUAUUUUUUUUAAUUUUUUUUAAAUAAGACGGACGGUUAAAGUUGACGCGGAAAAAUAUGGCUACACUUAAA